GGCGGACGGGUGAGUAAUACAUAGGAAUCUACCCAGUAGUGGGGGAUAACUUGGAGAAAUCCAUGCUAAUACCGCAUAUGUCCUACGGGGCAAAGCAGGGGACCUUCGGGCCUUGCGCUAUUGGAUGAGCCUAUGUCGGAUUAGCUAGUUGGUGGGGUAAAGGCCUACCAAGGCGACGAUCCGCAGCUGGUCUGAGAGGAUGAUCAGCCACACUGGGACUGAGACACGGCCCAGACUCCUACGGGAGGCAGCAGUGGGGAAUAUUGCACAAUGGGCGCAAGCCUGAUGCAGCAAUGCCGCGUGUGUGAAGAAGGCCUGCGGGUUGUAAAGCACUUUUAUUGGGAAAGAAAAACCCGGAGCUAAUACCUCCGGCAUUGACGGUACCCAAAGAAUAAGCACCGGCUAACUCAGUGCCAGCAGCCGCGGUAAUACUGAGGGUGCGAGCGUUAAUCGGAAUUACUGGGCGUAAAGCGAGUGUA
rnacentral:rRNA from 1 species